rnacentral:rRNA from 1 species
ACGUAGGGUGCGAGCGUUAAUCGGAAUUACUGGGCGUAAAGCGUGCGCAGGCGGUUGUGCAAGACAGAUGUGAAAUCCCCGGGCUUAACCUGGGAACUGCAUUUGUGACUGCACGGCUAGAGUGUGUCAGAGGGGGGUGGAAUUCCAGGUGUAGCAGUGAAAUGCGUAGAGAUCGGGAGGAAGGCCGGUGGCGAAGGCGGCGCUCUGGAACAUUUCUGACGCUGAGGCUCGAAAGCGUGGGGAGCAAACAGGA